rnacentral:rRNA from 1 species
AGCGGAGGAAAAGAAACCAACAGGGAUUGCCUCAGUAACGGCGAGUGAAGCGGCAAGAGCUCAACUUUGGAAUCGCUCCGGCGAGUUGUAGUCUGGAGGUGGCCACCACGAGGUGUUCUAGCAGCAGGCAAGUCCUUUGGAACAAGGCGCCAGCGAGGGUGACAGCCCCGUACCUGCUUUUGCUAGUGCUUCCUGUGGCCCACCGACGAGUCGAGUUGUUUGGGAAUGCAGCUCUAAGUGGGUGGUAAAUUCCAUCUAAGGCUAAAUAUUGGCGAGAGACCGAUAGCGAACAAGUACAGUGAUGGAAAGAUGAAAAGCACUUUGAAAAGAGAGUGAAACAGUACGUGAAAUUGUUGAAAGGGAAGGGCUUGCACCCAGACACGGUUUCGGCCGGGCCAGCAUCAAGUAGAACGGGGUUAAAAGACCUGGGGAAUGUAGCUACCUCUUGGUAGUGUUAUAGCCCUUGGGUGAUGACCCCUGUUUUGCUUGAGGACAGCGGUCUCUAGGAUGCUGGCGCAAUGGUUGCAAGCCACCCGUCUUGA